GGAGGGAAUCACGGUUUUGAGGGAACAGAAGGCACCUCCUGGCCUUCCUCUGCCCUCCCUUGUUGCCCUGUGCUGCAUUGAACAAACAUCCACUGCAGACUCCUUUUCCGGAAGGAUCUUUCUGCCCUGAGCACGCUCCCGCGCUGAUGCUACACGUGGGCCGCGCAGCUCCCGUCAGGCCAGCCCACUGGCCGUGUUCAAACGGUUCCACGGCUGCCCUCUUCGUUUCCUUCCAUCCUUCCAUUCUCCCCCAACGAAAACCUCAAAACGCGGAGGGCGAGGAUGGCUCUCUGUUCCCAUCCCCUCAUUCCCUAGCCCCCUUGCCCUCUUCGCAGCUCCUGGAGAGGGAAGAGCCGGAAACACGGCGUCAACAGCUGGGAAGUGUUGGGCAGCCUCUGGCUUGGGAUCAGGCUCCUGACGCAGAACGAGGACCCUCACUGGCAGGAUACAAAUGACAGGCCCCUCAAAGACGGAAGCUACAAGCCAAGCAGGGGAGGCACGGCAUCACCUGGGAUUGCCCAUGGCUAAAGAAGCGGAAUCUUCCCGUGGAACAUUCCAGGGGGUAGCACGUGUCAUAAAGAGGACCAUGCAGGUUUGAGCAUCACUGGCCCGUGGCACAGGGCGGGGGACUGUCAGAGCCAAGCCACGGUCCAGACUGCGGCUGGGAGGCCCAGUGGUGAUAGGGGUGGGGGUGCCCAUAGGACUUCCCAGAGCGGCAUCAGCGAUCUCUCUGACUAAGCGGAUUCAGUAAGCGCCGUCCCUCGGGCAGCUCCUAUUAAGUAACAUGGCCGAGCUUUCCUAGGAUCCUUGUAAUGCCCCAGGGUGGCCUAGCUUUGGGGUCUCAAGGGUGGUGGGACGACUGACCCCUACCCUGUGAGCUGUCAGUAUUGGAGGAUACGCUCUUGGGCCCAGCUCAGAACGGGGCCCGGCACACAACGUCAUGUCAUUUUGCACAGCCUGGCUUCCUCUGAGGCCACUCCAUCCAGCCCUGGAGCGCCCAGCCCUCUGCGUCAGCGUGCCACCCUCCGGCCAACACCUGGCCUCAGACAGGUCCCUGGUGGGAGACACAGAGGUCGCGCGGGGCAGAGGUACCAGGAGGCCACCGUCCCCACCAGCCCGACCGUGGCUCUCCUGCUGUGCUUUCUCCCAGCCGCCACCCGAGAUUUUGUGGUUUUAUCAAGUCACAACUAUUUGAACAGUGGCUGAAGCCCUUCAAGCAGCCUCUGUGUCCCCGGCUCCCAUGUGGCACGGGCUCUAACGCAUCCUUUCUGGAUUUUUCGGCCAGACCCUCUGGUUUGAAGCAGCAAACUCCGAAGCACGGCAUUCUAAUAAAAUCGGGAGCCAUCCGAAUGGGGAAGCAAGAACACAGCACAAUACGCUAUCUAGAGAGCACUGCAGGGAACCCGGAAGGGCGCUUAACUAGCCUUGGGUUUGUGUUACCCCCAAACAUUUCCAGGAUUUGGAAACCACGGCCUGGGACUGUCCCUCAGCGAGUCACAAGGGCCUGAGCAAGAGCAUAGUUUGGGAGUUUGAGAGAUUAAGAGAGAGGCCCUGACCCACCCUUCAGUGAUUGUGUGCUGGGGCAAUGACUUAAGCCCUUGGAGACUCAGUUUCCCCAUCUGUGAGGUGCACAAUGCCCCCGAACCCUUCCCCAGGGGUAAUGUGGUCUCACAGUGAGCAUGUGUGAGGUUCCAGCAGGUUAGCUAGGGGAAACAGCAGCCCUCCCUCCCCCCGAGCACCAGCCUCCCUCAGGGGGAGCACCACAGCCGCUCUGCCGAGGUGGCUGCGUGGCGGCCACAUGCCACAUCUCACCCCACGGGCCACACCACAGAACUCCAGAAGCUGAGCUUUGCAAAUUGAGAAAAAUGCACUGUCCUUCACCUUCCCAGGCGGGACGCCCACCGAGUGGCAGCAGCGCCUCCUCUGAGAGCUUGCAUCCCGUGCUCCCAACUCCAAGGGGAGUGGGGUGAGUGUGCCAAGCUGGAGCGCCUGGCCUCGGUGCGCGCUUCAGCAUUCUCCUGUCCCCCCACACUCACUGCCGGCUGUGCUGUCCCGCCGUGCCUUUUCUUCCUCUACCUGCACCCGCUUCUUGUUUUCCUUUUCCACUUGGUGGGGGCCUGGCUCCGGGAAUUCCCAGCAGCAGGAGCCAGGAAGCCAGCACCCCAGGAGAACUGCCCCUUCUGCACCUCCUCUAGCAUCCUGCCUUUGGCUGGGCCCAAAAACUCCAUGUGCGCCUGGAGGGAGCAGCAGGCCUGGUGUGGUUCCCAGCCGUCCCUUCACCUCCACUGCUCAGAUCUUCCAUAAUACUAUGCGGCAAGACAAUGAACUUCUUCCUCUUAAAGGGCACUGCCAGUUCAGUUGGCCUGGAAAUGAUGGCAGGCCAAGGACACCUAUUUCUUUUCAUAUAAGAGGGGCCUCAUCACCCCCCCCCCCCCUCCGCCCACUGGAGACACAGGAUUCACGGAUGUACUGUCUUCUUCCGAGACACAGCAGGACGGGCCACCGUGAGCUCAGCAGCAUCCUUCGUUCCUGAAACUCAACAUGCCACCGACCCACCAGCUCUGGCUUUUUUUUCACAGACACCUUUUUGGAGGAGUAGCGUUCACUCUACUUCUUAAGCUCAAGGCUUCUCCAUUUCAUCAAAAGUCUCCAAGAAAUGGCUCUCUUUGCGCUUCUCUUUAUGCUCCAACAACUGCAAAAGCACUAGGAUAUCUGCCAUCAGAGCAAGACGGCGAAGAAAGGCCAACAGUCUCCUCAUUUGGUGGCAGGUUCCCAUGUGAGUUUUGAGUUCUUUAGAAUAACUGAAUUUCUUUGGCUUGUGAGCAAGGGGGAGUCGCUCUCAACUUCUCCUGCUGGAGCGGGCAACCCCCUUUUGUCUGAUUCCUCCCUGGCCGCCUUCUCCCCCACCUUCACGGGAGCUCUGCUCAAGAGGAGCUAGUUCACUUAAGUCUGCAGCCGGUUUGCACACCCCAAAGGACUGACCUUGGUGUGAACUAAUUGGGACUGCCAUAGAUUAAUAACACAGGUUGCUGAGGUGCACUUUUGCUGCAUAAAGGAGAGCUUUGAAGAUAAGAGCCGUGUGUGCUUUCACAAGCUCAUCCCUGGUGCUCUGAACAAAGGACAUAAACUAAUAAAGUCAGAUUCAUCUAGGGGCAAUCUACACUCGCAGAGGAAUAUCACCCCAAACUGAUUCAGAAAGGCAAAUGGAAAUCUGCCGGAAUUCUUUUAAACUCCAACACAGAUCUCGAUUUAAAAAAUGACACACACACACAAAAACUCUUGGUAAUAAGCAGACCUCUGAUGAUCUAAAGAUCCACAGCUUCAUUUAUUGACUUAGAGAAAGUAAAUGGCAUUUCAAAUACAACCUUCAUACUUUAAUAGAUGAGGUCACCCUGAGAAAGAUGAUACCGAGCCCAGCGGUGGGAAACCUCCCUCCAGAGAACUGCUUUGAUUUACAAGGUCAAGGAAGGCUUUCUCCGAGAAGCAAUAGGUUUUCAGUGACUUGGACUAACAUGGAAGAAUUAAAAUAAUAUAAUAAUGAUGAUGAUGAUAAUAAUAAUAAAAAUAAAAGUAGUGUCUGAGAUAGCAGACUAGGAAACUCUUGCUCAACAAAAGGGAUGAUCUCUGGACAACAGAAGUGAAGUGACUACCAAGUAGAGAUGCCCGAGCAACUCCGCUUUGUUGCAGGCAUUGAGCUCCUGUGUGGACGAGGAGAUCCUUGUGACUUUCCCAGACUGCUCUCAACAGGGGCUGUUUCUUCACCAGGGGACACUGGACAAUGUCUGGAGGUAUUUUUGGUUGUCACCACUAGGGUGAGGAGUGCUACUGGCAUCUAGAGGGUGGAGGCCAGGGGUGCUGCUAAAUAUCUUACAACACACAGAAUGGCCCCCCAUGGUGGAGAAUGAUCUGGCACCAAAUGUCAGUGGUGCCUUAGAAAGAUCCAGCCCAGGCUAGGCACGCCCCGCCCCGUCCCGCCCAGGCACAGAACAGAUGCAACUCAGGGGUGCGAGGAGAUAAGGGGUGUGCUGGGAACAUUCUGGAGCCCUGGUGGGCACCAGGGUCGCUGGAGGCCAUUGCCCGCGUGGCACCAGCUGUCACACUGUGCCCAGAGAGCACUCCGUCCCCAAGCCAGGAUUUGGGAUGACUCUUUCUCACAGCCCCAUGGCCUGGCACCCAGACUUGGGGCUGGCACGCCGAGUCCUGAGUGAGAUGCAGGUGUAAACGACCAACAAGAUCACUCCUGAGCUGACCGUCAGCUUUGCCACCUGGGAAGGGACAGGCCAAUGCUUGCCUUUCCCCAGCUUCCCGGGCAUGAGUCACAUGUAACUAGAUAAUGAUGCAAAUCACUGUCAACAUUUCUAAGGUUUCAUUCCAACGUCUCAUGGAAUGAGAGUGCAGAAAGCAACCUCUGAGACUUUCUGAGCCAGCCCCACCUCGGAGAAAGCCGAGGCACGGACAGUCUCGCAGGCUUUGGCCUGGCUGUCUGAAUCUCCAGAUUAGACUGAUGAGCACAUGCCAGACGGCAAUGAAACGCAAUUACCUAGGCAAACUUUUGAAGGAUUUGAGCCCUGGGGCACAGGCUGUUUACGAAAGACGAACAGCACCGUUUGUACUGAGCAGGACCAGUUGCCUCCGUCUUUUUGAGUUCUGGAUCCCGCCUGCCACUGGACUCCGGGCAGGAUUUCUCGGGGCCAGAUAACAUCAGGCUUCUGUCCACACCUCUGUACCUCAGGGUCUCUGCUGUUUUUUUUCAACAAGAAAAUGCAAGUACCAACAAAAACCUAUUAUAACAUCUCCUUUUGUGCUCACGGACUCUCUCUCUCUCAUUGGUUUAUUUACUUAUUUAUUUAUUUUUUUGUAUUGUGUACCACCCCAAAAAAGGCAGCGAGAAAUCAUCCUAUAGCCGGCCUGGCGCUGCAACAACAUCUUUGGAAACGAACAACCUCUCUAAUAAACAGGAACUUCCCGUCUUUGAAAAAAAAAAAAAAAUUGAAAAACCAGCAAACCA